GAUGAACGCUGGCGGCAUGCCUAAGACAUGCAAGUCGAACGAGAUGGCCCGGUGAAGGUUGAGUGCUUGCACAAGACUGAAUCUGGAUCACCAUCUAGUGGCAGACGGGUGAGUAACACGUGGGUGACCUACCUUUUCGUUGGGGAUAACAGUUGGAAACGAUUGCUAAUACCGAAUAAAAUAUAAGAGUCGAUUUUAUAUUGAGAGGAGCCUUUAAAGCUUCGCGAUUAGAUGGGCCUGCGGCGUAUUAACUAGUUGGUGAGGUAACGGCUCACCAAGGUAACGAUGCGUAGCCGAACUGAGAGGUUGAUCGGCCACACUGGGACUGAGACACGGCCCAGACUCCUACGGGAGACAGCAGUUAGGAAUAUUCGUCAAUGGGGGAAACCCUGAACGAGCAAUGCCGCGUGAGUGAUGACGGUCCUUUGGAUUGUAAACUGCUUUUUAUAAGGGAGGAAAAGAUGACGUUACCCUCAGAAGAAGC
rnacentral:rRNA from 1 species